rnacentral:lncRNA from 1 species
UGGGUACUCUAUGGGCUUCUUGCUCUCAGUGCCACUAAUGCUCAUCUGUUUUGUGUUUGACAGAACGCGUCCCUGACACUUUCCGGUCAGCAGUAUUCAGAAAAUGGGCUGUACAUUGGGAUUGGUUUAUGUGCAGUACUUCUAGCCAUCCUUAUUUUGGCUCUGUUCCUCACUAGACAAUAUUUGUACAAUACAAAGAAGACGAGUGACUUUGCAAACUUUGUUGCAUUUUGGAGGCCAGAACGUGCAGGGAACCAUAGUGCCCUGGAAGAUGAGAUCCAUGCAGAGGAAAACAUUUAUAUAAUACACUAAGGACUAUGGGACUGCAUGCAUGCUUGCCAUUGUCAUCACUGGGACAUUAAAUAGUUUGCAAAAUGUUAGCUGCUCCCUCUGCUCAGCAGCUAAACGUGACUGGACUACUGAAGCAUUAUUCACAUCACUCUAAUAAAACAAAUAAAAGCUACA